rnacentral:rRNA from 1 species
AGUGAACGCUGGCGGUAGGCCUAACACAUGCAAGUCGAACGGCAGCACAGUAAGAGCUUGCUCUUACGGGUGGCGAGUGGCGGACGGGUGAGGAAUACAUCGGAAUCUACUUUUUCGUGGGGGAUAACGUAGGGAAACUUACGCUAAUACCGCAUACGACCUACGGGUGAAAGCAGGGGAUCUUCGGACCUUGCGCGAUUGAAUGAGCCGAUGUCGGAUUAGCUAGUUGGCGGGGUAAAGGCCCACCAAGGCGACGAUCCGUAGCUGGUCUGAGAGGAUGAUCAGCCACACUGGAACUGAGACACGGUCCAGACUCCUACGGGAGGCAGCAGUGGGGAAUAUUGGACAAUGGGCGCAAGCCUGAUCCAGCCAUACCGCGUGGGUGAAGAAGGCCUUCGGGUUGUAAAGCCUUUUUGUUGGGAAAGAAAAGCAGCAGGUUAAUACCCCGCUGUUCUGACGGUACCCAAAGAAUAAGCACCGGCUAACUUCGU